GGCUCGGCACGUUGGCGGCUUGGCGGUUUGGCAGCUUGGCGGCUCGGCGGCUUGAUGGCUCGGUGGUCUGGCUGCUUGGAAGUGUUGUCCUCGGCUGCAAGGGUGGGCAUUAAAUGGGUUGGAGAAGAGGAUGGUAUCAAAUGGUAUCAUUCGUACACAACACAUCAGUAUCUCUACAUCUUCAUGUAGCCAUAUGCAUCCAGGCAUUCGAGGCCCGCAGGCGCAUGCUGCGUCGGCUUCGAGGCCACGAGGCGCGCACGACGUCGGUUUCGAGGCCACCAUCGUCACCCAUGUAUGGACGUUGCCAUGCAUGUGAAUGGGCUGCAUGUGGAUAUACGUGAUAGACAUAUGGGGUUACCUGUCUUGCCUAUAGAGGUGAGUUAAGAGGGGGGCCGGGAAGAGGAGCUGGACCACCAAUAAGGGCGUGAAAAGGGAGAGUCCUUGGUGCAGGGCGUGAGACGGGAGAGCCCCAACACUUGCGUACUAACACCCGAGGGUGAUCAGCCCGACGGCUAGGAGAGCGUGAGAGGUGCGUACUCCUCGUAGGGCAUGGGACGCUCCCGGUCCACCCCACGGGGGCUUCAGUGGGUUCAAAUCCCGCAUUGAUCGAGGUAUGUGAGUUCGUACUGCCUCUGCCAUGCUGCCUGGGUCGAAGCUUCUUCCUUGCUGACUUCACACAAUCGCCCUGCGCAAACGUCUUGACCUUCUGGACUAAUUGGGCUAUCUGGAUCCCUAAGCUUGCUAACCUGGGCGGUUAUCAUCAGGAAUUCGAGGUAGGAAAAUAACGACACUCGGGUGUACUGCUGUCGCGUCAUUGUAUGGCCUUGGCGUUUAGGUGCGGCUUAACAACCGUCACAGGUGACGUUGCGUGUGAUGCGUUGCAUCACACGUUUACGAUUAUGCAUAUCGCAUUUCACAUUUACCUUCAACCUGUUCUGUGUAUGUGUCUACGUUGCAGGAUCGUGGAAGUGCAUACCCCGUACCUGUAAAAACCGCCUAAUACGCAUCGAGGGCAGAAGAGCUCCCUUCCUAAUCGCCUGUACGCACCAUCCCACCACUCCAGACACAGCAAGUGAUAAAGCUAACGACCAAAGGGAACGGUAGAGUUGCGACGGGACCACAUACGUUCCAGCAUCUUCGCCAGACGUUCAGGAUUCCACUUCAUAUAACGCCCUUCAUAUGCGCGAAGCGUGGGAAAUCCGUUUCAGACCUUCCAGCGGAUCAGUCCAGCGGAUCAGUCCAGCGAGAGGUGCUCCUCAGGAACUUUUUGCUGGUGAAGGCGAUUGGUUCUCCGUUCUUCAGUAGGGCUGCACCCGUACCGUGCAAGGACGCGUGAAACAGAGGUCACUUAGAACGUGAAAGGUCAUGUCCGGGUACCGGGUUAGCAGUACAUCGUCGGCCAACGCGUUUUUCACCAUCUCAAAUGCCUGUACCCGUUUAGGUGUCCAGUCUUCCGUCCGGAACGUGAUCAUGUAACAUAUCUCUGUGGGGAGCCGAAAGUGUGAAGCGUACGCUUUAACGAGGUUUCGGAAACAGCUCGUAAGCCCCAAGAACUGCCGUAACUCGGAUGUAUUCUUUGGCAACGGCCACUCACGGACAGUCUUCGCCUUCUUAGGAUCCAUGCGAACUCCGUCGGCACUAACGAUGUGACCGAG
rnacentral:lncRNA from 1 species